rnacentral:rRNA from 1 species
GGUAUUGAAAUAAGAUUUUAAAUGAGUGCUAAGAGAAUGAUUAAACAAUUAAAAGCUUUCUUUAAUUAAAAAAUUAAAUUUAAUUUUUUUAGUGCAAAAGCAAAAAUAAAAUUUAGGGACAAGAAGACCCUAUGAAUUUUUAUUGUUAAUAAUUAAAAUUUAAGUUAUUAAUAAUUUAAUUGGGGCGAUAAAAAAAGAAUAAGUAUCUUUUUAAUUAUAAAAUAAGUUCCGUUUUUAGCGAUUAAAUGAAAUAAAUACUCUAGGGAUAACAGCGUAAUAAUUUUGGAUAGUUCAUAUAGAUAAAAUAGUUUGCGACCUCGAUGUUGGAUUAGGAUUCU